UCAUAUAGCAUUUGGAAAGCAGCUAUUCCCACCUUGUCCUCAUCCUGUGUAUGUUGAUUAUCGCCGCGAUGCAACCAAAUUAACGGAUCUGUAGAACCAUCAAAAGUAGAAAAAUCCAGUUUGGUAUACUUGGGAACCACCCCACUUCCAGUAAGUGGCUGAAAAUUGGUUCGCUUCUAUUGAGUUUGUCCCGAUAGAUUGUGGCUGCUAGCAGUUCCAUCAACCUCCUUAUUAGUGCUACGAUUCAGUCCAGGCAUCAGCUUCUCCAAUUGAAGCGAUAGUUGUUGCAUAUGGCUACCCAACCUUCUCUCCACUUCCGCAACCCUAGCGUCAUUCAUAGCUUGUGCCUAUUGUAGUAAAGAUUUCAAUUCUUCGUUCUUGCUAGUAUAUCCCAUCGUGUUUGGCUCUGAUACCAAUUUAUUAAGGUCCCGUG
rnacentral:lncRNA from 1 species